UACGUAGGGGGCUAGCGUUGUCCGGAAUCAUUGGGCGUAAAGAGCGUGUAGGCGGCCCGGUAAGUCCGCUGUGAAAGUCGGGGGCUCAACCCUCGAAUGCCGGUGGAUACUGUCGGGCUAGAGUGCGGAAGAGGCGAGUGGAAUUCCUGGUGUAGCGGUGAAAUGCGCAGAUAUCGGGAAGAACACCUAUGGCGAAGGCAGCUCUCUGGGACGGUACUGACGCUGAAACGCGAAAGCGUGGGGAGCGAACAGG
rnacentral:rRNA from 1 species